rnacentral:rRNA from 1 species
AGAGUUCGAUCCUGGCUCAGGAUGAACGCUGGCGGCGCGCCUAACACAUGCAAGUCGAACGGCACCUAUCUUCGGAUAGAAGCGAGUGGCGAACGGCUGAGUAACACGUGGAGAACCUGCCCCCUCCCCCGGGAUAGCCGCCCGAAAGGACGGGUAAUACCGGAUACCCCGGGGUGCCGCAUGGCACCCCGGCUAAAGCCCCGACGGGAGGGGAUGGCUCCGCGGCCCAUCAGGUAGACGGCGGGGUGACGGCCCACCGUGCCGACAACGGGUAGCCGGGUUGAGAGACCGACCGGCCAGAUUGGGACUGAGACACGGCCCAGACUCCUACGGGAGGCAGCAGUGGGGAAUCUUGCGCAAUGGGGGGAACCCUGACGCAGCGACGCCGCGUGCGGGACGGAGGCCUUCGGGUCGUAAACCGCUUUCAGCAGGGAAGAGUCAAGACUGUACCUGCAGAAGAAGCCCCGGCUAACUACGUGCCAGCAGCCGCGGUAAUACGUAGGGGGCGAGCGUUAUCCGGAUUCAUUGGGCGUAAAGCGCUCGUAGGCGGUCCGUUAGGUCGGGAGUCAAAUCCGGGGGCUCAACCCCCGCCCGCUCCCGAUACCGGCCCCCCGAAGCCCCCGGAACCUCCGCGGCUUGGGUCCGGUAGGGGAGGGUGGAACACCCGGUGUAGCGGUGGAAUGCGCAGAUAUCGGGUGGAACACCGGUGGCGAAGGCGGCCCUCUGGGCCGAGACCGACGCUGAGGCGCGAAAGCUGGGGGAGCGAACAGGAUUAGAUACCCUGGUAGUCCCAGCCGUAAACGAUGGACACUAGGUG